CUACGGGUUGCUGCAGCGGAGAAUAAUUUACAAUGCACGAAAGUGUGGUAAUUUGAGCCAGAGUGCGAUUCAAUGAAUCGCUUUUGCCAAAUCUAAAAAGUUUGGCGAAUAAGGACUGGGUAAGACGAGUGCCAGCCGCCGCGGUAAUACUCGCGGUCCAAGUCGCAGCCACUUUUAUUGGGUCUAAAACAUCCGUAGCUUGCUUGACAAGUCCCUUGUGAAAUCCCAGAUCUUAAAUCUGGGGCGUGCGAGGGGUACUAUCAAGCUAGAGACCGGAAGACGCAACGAGUACGUUUGAAGUAGUGGUAAAAUAUUUUAAUCUCAAACGGACUAACAACAGCGAAGGCACGUUGCGAGAACGGUUCUGACAGUCAGGGAUGAAGGCUAGGGGCGCAAAACGGAUUAGAUACCCCCGUAGUC
rnacentral:rRNA from 1 species